rnacentral:piRNA from 1 species
UGAGCUGCGGCUGUGAGCUCCUGU